GACGAACCGUGCGAACGUUGUUCGGAAUCACUGGGCUUAAAGGGCGCGUAGGCGGGCUCGCAGGUCAGGGGUGAAAGCCCACGGCUCAACCGUGGAAGUGCCUUUGAUACCGUGAGUCUCGAGGGAGGUAGGGGCGUGCGGAACUUCCGGUGGAGCGGUGAAAUGCGUAGAUAUCGGAAGGAACAUCGGUGGCGAAAGCGGCGCGCUGGACCUCUUCUGACGCUGAGGCGCGAAAGCCAGGGGAGCAAACGGG
rnacentral:rRNA from 1 species